rnacentral:rRNA from 1 species
UACGAAGGGAGCUAGCGUUGUUCGGAAUCACUGGGCGUAAAGCGCACGUAGGCGGAUGUGUCAGUCAGGGGUGAAAUCCCGGAGCUCAACUUCGGAACUGCCCUUGAUACAGCACGUCUUGAGUCCGGAAGAGGUGGGUGGAAUUCCUAGUGUAGAGGUGAAAUUCGUAGAUAUUAGGAAGAACACCGGUGGCGAAGGCGGCCCACUGGUCCGGUACUGACGGCUGAGGUGCGAAAGCGUGGGGAGCAAACAGG